GAGCAUUUGGGCUUUUAGCUGGUAUUUUCGAUCUGUAUUGCGUGGUUGAAGUUACCCAGGGGCUAACCCUUGGCCUGCUGGUGAGGUUGAUUCAGCACCACCUGUCAACCUAUAGAUCAGUGGUUCAAAUCCUGAAAACAACUUCAUCGCAUUGUGUGGGUAAGCACUAAGGCUGCAUAUAUCUUGUUCUUCCUCUAUGGCUCUAUCCCACCUCCAUUGAGAGAGCCUUGUGCAAGGGAGUUAUUAUGUUUUACUUGUUUGAACUUACCUAACACACUUUCUUGUUUUCUGUUUCUAAAACAAUGCAGCUGGCAACCAAAUGUGCCUUUUCUUCCAUGGUAUUGAGACUCAAGAACGUGCAAAAUUUAGUGGCUUGUUUUCAGUUGUUGAAAAUGGAAAAUUUUCAACAUGACCAAACAUAACUCUAGUUUUUUGAGAUGGAUUUAUAAAAUUCAGAUUUUGGAUUUGGUUUAAACAUUUAACUUUCAAUUCUCGGUUUAGGCUUCUGAACUACUAGUUGCAUUGAAAAACGAGACCUAAUUGUCUAGUAACUUGAUUUUGUUUAACCUGUUUAUAUUGCAGGAGGGUUUUGGACUGGAAUUUAGGCGUAGUUUUAUAAUGUCUGGCAUGCUGGCUUGUACAUCCUGCAUCUUUGAGAUGAGGAAGAUACCUUUGUUUACAUAUUUCAUAGUUUUCUCUUUAUAUGAUUAACUGGCUAUCUGAAACUUGUACAGAUGGCAUCUGUUGAAAUAGAAUGUGUUGAUGGUUUGGAAGAUGUAAGCUCUGCAUUACUUGUAUCAGAACCAGUUCCUCUUAUGGAAGGUGAAGGAAGCUCACUCAGGGUAUUGGGUUUUGAUCAAUGUUUGGUGUUGGGGACUCUUAUUGGAGGAGUUUGUAGGUCACUUAAAGUAGAAGACCCUUGCAGAAAUACAAUAAUAUGGAAGUCUCUUCUUGUCUCACAUUGUUGAAGAUAUAACUGAAUUGCCCACCAUUUCAGAUGGUGUCCUAAAAGGUGGCUUGACAUAGAAGCUCUAUGUGUCAGAAUUGGACUGGUAAGUCUUUCAUGGAAUGUGGCUAUCGUUCAUUUAAUAAAGAUUUAUUUGUGUCCUUUCAUUGAAUUGUAACCUUUAUUUUGAUACGGACUUGAGGGCAUUUGGAUGUGCAGCCCGGUCUAGUGAAGGUAAAGGAUUUACCUGGCAAAGAUUUUUACUGUAGCUAAAAUGCAAUAUCAUGCUGGGCACCACUUAUCUUUGAGCAUAGCCAAAGUUAACAUAGCUGCAGAUACUGCCAGUCACACAAGAGGGGAAAAAAGUAGAGAAUCUGUAUGCAUUAACGUAUGGUUGCUGCAAAGAAAGUCUUUUAUUGUUGGAGGUUGCUGCAAAGAUUUUCGAAUCUGUACAAGUGCCAAUUCUAUCUUCUGGUCCAUAAAUCUUACUAUUAAUUAUCGAUCAUAGUGCUCUGUUGGUUGCUGACUUAGUCUUGAAAAUUUGUGAACCUUUUUGUUUAUUUCCAUAUUGCAUACUCCCACAUGCUUAUCUAUUUCUGUCAUAUAAACAACAGGUAUUGAGGAAGUUCAUUCAAUUCUGCACAUCCUGAAUUCUUCCAGCCUCUUAUAGCCGAAUGGGUAGGAGUUUGUAUGAUCUAUUAGUGAUUCCAGAAUCCAUUCUUUGGUCUGAGAACAGAAUCCAUACUGAACGUUCACUUGCUUUGAUACUUGUACCGGGUAAUUGAUGAGGUUUGCAAAUAAAGAUAAACGCAUGCGAAUGGCAUUACAGCUCUGGAACAAUAUACUCUCUCUGUUUUUUUUUUUGUUGAUUUUCAGUGACAUCUAGUAACAAUUACAGUCUCUCUACUCCUAUAAACUUUGUUGGAUUUGAUCUGGAUCGUUGCAUUCAUAAUUCAGAUCACUUAUGUUGUGAUUUGGC